rnacentral:rRNA from 1 species
AUGACGGCGCCGCGCGGUGGCGGGGAUGUGCCAUCGUCGACGGCGUCGGCAGCCGCCGCCGCCGCUUCGAUGACCGAGCCCAACACGCCGACGUCGGCGCACGCGUCGGGGCUCAACCGGCGGGGGUCGAGGGGCGCCGCCAUGGCCUCCUUCUCCAUGGAGGUCUUCGACAACGAGGUGGUGCCGUCCUCGCUCAGCAGCAUCGCCCCCAUCCUGCGCGUCGCCGCCGAGAUCGAGCACGAGCGCCCCCGCGUCGCCUACCUCUGUCGGUUCUAUGCCUUCGAGAAGGCGCACAGGCUGGAUCAAAACUCUGUUGGUCGUGGCGUCCGGCAGUUCAAAACGUCCCUGCUUCAGCGCUUAGAGAAGGAUAAUAGCCCGAGUCUCGCAAAGCGAUUGAAGAAAACUGAUGCCCGCGAAAUUGAGAGUUUCUAUCAAGAAUACUAUGAGAACUAUGUCCGCACCCUCGACAAAGGGGAACAAGCCGACAGGACUCAACUUGGGAAGGCCUACCAAACGGCUGGAGUCCUCUUCGAGGUGCUCUGUGCCGUCAACAAGAAUGAGAAGGUUGAGCAAGUUAACCCCGAGAUUAUGCGCUGGCACACUGAGGUGCAAGAAAAGAAAGACAUCUACGCGCCGUUCAAUAUUCUGCCUCUCGAUGCGGCCAGUGCAUCCCAGUCCAUCAUGCAGCUGGAGGAGAUAAAAGCAGCAGUCGCAGCUCUGCGGUACACACGGGGUUUGACCUGGCCUUCUGCAUUUGAGCCGGAAAGGCAGAAGGGGGGUGAGCUCGAUUUGCUCGAUUGGUUGAGAGCUAUGUUUGGCUUUCAGCGGGACAGUGUCAGGAAUCAACGGGAGCAUUUGAUUCUUCUCCUCGCUAAUGUGCACAUUAGACUUGAGCCAAAGCCUGAACCACUUAGCAAGCUAGAUGACCGAGCUGUUGAUGUAGUGAUGAACAAGUUGUUCAACAACUACAAGAAGUGGUGCAAAUUUUUGUCACGGAAACAUAGUUUGAGAAAUCCUCCAGGUGCUCAAUUACAGGAAGUUCAGCAACGCAGAAUUUUGUACCUAGGUCUUUAUCUUCUUAUCUGGGGCGAAUCAGCAAAUAUCCGGUUUAUGCCAGAGUGUCUUUGCUACAUUUUUCACAAUAUGGCAUAUGAGUUGCAUGGGUUGCUUGCUGGAAAUGUUAGUAUUGUGACUGGUGAAAAUAUCAGGCCAUCUUAUGGUGGGGAUGAGGAGGCUUUCUUAAAGAAAGUGGUCACACCUAUCUAUCGUGUCAUCAGAAAGGAGGCAGGAAAAAGCCAACAUGGAAAAACUGCACAUUCAGCAUGGUGUAAUUAUGAUGAUCUAAAUGAGUACUUCUGGACACCUGAUUGUUUCUCACUGGGAUGGCCAAUGCGAGAUGAUGGUGACUUCUUCAAAUCCGUGCACGAUUCAAGGCCUGUAGCAGUGGCUGGAAGCUCCUCACCAAAGGGUUCUAGUAAAGGCACAGGCAAGACAAAUUUUGUAGAGACAAGAUCGUUUUGGCACAUCUUUCGUAGUUUUGACCGAAUGUGGACCUUCUAUUUGUUGGCUCUACAGGCAAUGUUGAUUUUUGCUUGGAGUGAAUAUUCAGUGACUCAAAUCCUUCAGAAGGACCUCUUAUAUUCUCUAUCAAGCAUAUUUGUCACAGCAGCAUUUUUACAGUUCCUCCAAAGUAUUUUAGACUUUAUUCUGAACUUUCCUGGCCACAUUAGAUGCAAGUUCAUUGACGUCGUGAGAAAUAUUCUGAAGAUAGUAGUUAGUGCCGCGUGGGCUGUGAUUCUUCCCAUUUUCUAUAUCAGAAGUCAAACAAAAGUCAAUUUACCACUGAAAAAUCUGGACAGAUGGUUUGGUUAUGUGAAAGGAGUGCCACAACUAUAUAUCCUGGCUGUGGCGGUGUACCUGAUACCUAAUAUGAUUAGUGCAACGCUCUUCCUGUUUCCGAUGUUUCGAAGGUGGAUAGAGAGCUCGGAUUGGCAUAUUGUUAGACUGCUACUGUGGUGGUCUCAGAAACGAAUUUAUGUUGGCCGUGGAAUGCAUGAAAGUCAAGCUGCUCUUCUGAAGUACACAUUAUUUUGGAUUUUGCUGCUAUGCGCGAAGCUUUCCUUCAGUUACUUUGUCCAGAUACAACCUCUUAUAAGGCCUACCAAGGAUAUAAUGAGUGUUCAUAACAUUCGUUAUGAGUGGCAUGAGUUUUUUCCAAACGCAUCAUAUAAUAUCGCUGCUAUCCUAUCCCUCUGGGCCCCUGUUCUGUUGGUCUAUUUGAUGGAUACACAGAUAUGGUAUGCCAUUUUCUCUACAAUAUCCGGCGGUAUGUCUGGGGCACUUGGACGACUUGGGGAGAUUCGAACACUAGGAAUGCUGAGAUCACGAUUUCACUCUUUGCCUGGAGCCUUCAAUACAUAUUUGGUGCCAUCAGACAAAGGCAGAAACAGACGUUUUUCACUCUCAAAGCGCUUCGCAGAGGUUUCCCCCAACAAGAGAACUGAAGCUGCCAAGUUUGCUCAACUGUGGAAUGAAGUGAUUUGCAGUUUCCGCGACGAAGAUUUUAUAAGUGAUAAGGAGAUGGACCUAUUGGUGGUUCCAUACUCAUCAGACCCGAGCCUAAAAUUGAUGCAGUGGCCGUUGUUCUUGCUUGCUAGCAAGAUACCUAUAGCUUUAGACAUGGCAGCACAAUUUAGACCGAGAGACAGUGAUUUGUGGAAGCGUAUAUGUGCUGACGAGUAUAUGAAGUGCGCUGUAAUUGAAUGCUACGAGUCAUUCAAACUUGUUCUUAAUUUAGUGGUGGUUGGAGAAAAUGAAAAGAGGAUUAUUGGGAUUAUAAUCAAAGAGAUUGAAGCUAACAUCGCAAAGAAUACAUUCCUUGCCAAUUUUAGGAUGAGCGCAUUGCCAGUCCUUUGCAAGAAGUUUGUGGAGCUUGUAUCCACCUUGAAAGAAAGAGACGCCUCAAAAUUUGAUAAUGUAGUGCUAUUGCUUCAAGACAUGCUGGAAGUGAUCACGAGGGAUAUGAUGGUCAAUGAGAUCAAAGAACUAGCUGAAUUUGGUCAUGGGAACAAGGAUUUAGUUCCAAGAAGACAACUUUUUGCGGGCACAGGCACAAAACCUGCAAUUGUUUUCCCACCACCAAUUUCUGCGCAGUGGGAAGAACAAAUUAAGCGCUUGUACCUUCUUUUGACUGUUAAAGAAUCAGCAAUGGAUGUGCCUACAAAUCUUGAAGCCCGCCGGAGAAUAUCAUUUUUCACUAAUUCGCUAUUCAUGGAGAUGCCACGUGCGCCUAGAGUGCGCAAAAUGCUCUCUUUCAGUGUAAUGACACCAUACUACAGUGAGGAAACUGUAUAUUCAAGAAACGACCUUGAUCUGGAGAAUGAGGAUGGUGUAUCAAUUAUAUUCUACCUGCAGAAGAUCUUUCCAGAUGAAUGGGAUAAUUUCAUGGAAAGGAUUGAUUGCAAAAAAGAAACUGAAGUUUGGGGAAAUGAAGAAAAUGUUCUUCAACUUCGUCAUUGGGCCUCUCUUAGAGGGCAGACACUCUGUCGAACAGUGAGAGGCAUGAUGUAUUACAGGAAAGCUUUGAAGCUUCAAGCAUUCCUAGACAUGGCUUCUGAAUCUGAGAUACUAGAAGGCUAUAAAGCCAUUGCAGAUCCCGCAGAGGAAGAGAAGAAAAGCCAAAGAUCUCUGUCUUCUCAGCUUGAAGCUAUAGCAGACAUGAAAUUCACAUAUGUUGCUACGUGCCAGAUCUAUGGAAAUCAGAAACAGUCGGGUGAUCGACAUGCAACAGAUAUACUGAACUUGAUGGUGCAUUAUCCUGGUCUCCGCGUGGCAUACAUUGAUGAAGUUGAGGAGAGGGAUGGUGAGAAGGUGCAAAAGGUCUUCUAUUCGGUGCUAGUAAAAGCUCUUGACAAUCACGAUCAGGAAAUAUACCGCAUAAAAUUGCCAGGGCCAGCGAAAUUAGGUGAAGGGAAACCUGAAAACCAAAAUCACGCGAUCAUUUUUACCCGCGGAGAAGCUUUGCAAACCAUUGAUAUGAACCAGGACAAUUAUUUGGAGGAAGCUUUGAAAAUGCGGAAUUUGCUGGAAGAAUUCAAUGAGAACCAUGGUAUUCGUCCUCCAACAAUUCUUGGAGUACGUGAACACAUAUUCACCGGAAGUGUGUCAUCUCUUGCCUGGUUUAUGUCAAACCAGGAAACCAGCUUUGUGACAAUAGGACAGAGGGUUCUUGCCAAUCCAUUGAAGGUACGUUUUCACUAUGGACAUCCUGAUGUGUUUGAUAGGAUAUUUCACAUUACAAGAGGUGGAAUUAGCAAGGCUUCCUGUGGUAUAAACUUGAGUGAAGACAUUUUUGCUGGUUUCAACUCAACUCUGAGGCGAGGAAAUGUCACCCAUCACGAGUACAUUCAAGUCGGAAAAGGACGUGAUGUUGGGUUGAAUCAAAUUUCACUCUUUGAGGCCAAAGUGGCGUGUGGCAAUGGAGAACAAGUGCUUAGCAGAGAUAUCUACCGUUUGGGCCACCGCUUUGACUUCUUCCGAAUGCUCUCAUGUUACUUCACAACUGUGGGAUUUUAUGUCAGCUCAAUGAUGGUUGUCAUAAUAGUAUAUGUUUUCUUGUAUGGGAGGCUUUAUUUAGCCUUAAGUGGACUUGAGUUUGCAAUUAUGAAGCAAGCACGAAUGAGAGGCAACCGUGCUCUUGAGGCAGCCAUGGGGUCCCAAUCUAUUGUGCAGCUAGGUCUAUUGAUGGCCUUACCCAUGUUUAUGGAGAUCGGACUGGAAAGGGGUUUUAGAAGCGCCCUGGGGGAUUUCAUCAUCAUGCAGCUACAGCUAUGUGCAGUAUUCUUUACCUUUUCCCUCGGGACAAAAUCACAUUAUUUUGGCCGCACAAUCCUCCACGGUGGUGCAAAAUAUAGAGCAACUGGCAGAGGCUUUGUUGUUCGCCAUGUAAAGUUCGCUGAAAAUUACAGAAUGUAUAGCAGGAGUCACUUUGUGAAAGGACUUGAGCUCAUGUUACUACUUGUAGUGUAUGAGCUCUAUGGUGAUGUGGCGACAGAUUCCACGGCCUAUGUUCUUCUGACAUCAUCUAUGUGGUUCUUGGUAAUCACAUGGCUGUUUGCUCCAUUCCUCUUCAACCCAUCAGGAUUUGAAUGGCAAAAGGUGGUGGAUGAUUGGGAUGAUUGGAACAAAUGGAUAAGCAGCCGUGGCGGGAUUGGUGUGCCGGCCAAUAAGGCCUGGGAGUCGUGGUGGGAAGAGGAGCAGGAACAUCUGCUGUCAACAGGCAUAAUCGGCCGCAUAUGGGAAAUCAUAUUAUCUCUCCGAUUCUUCAUGUUUCAGUACGGUAUCAUGUACCAUCUGAAUAUCUCUAAUGGCAACAAAAGCAUAUCAAUUUAUGGUCUGUCUUGGCUGGUCACUGUAGCAGUAGUGUUGGUCCUCAAGGUGGUAUCUAUGGGAAGAAAGAAAUUUAGUGCUGACUUCCAGCUUAUGUUCCGGCUCCUCAAAUUGUUCUUGUUCAUUGGAUCUGUUGGAACUUUGGCGAUUCUUUUCACCCUUCUGCACCUUACAGUUGGUGACAUAUUCGCCAGCUUCCUUGCCUUUGCACCCACAGGAUGGGCCAUUCUGCAGAUAUCACAGGCAAGCAAGCCAGUGGUGAAGGCUUUUGGUCUGUGGGGAUCUGUGAAGGCCUUGUCCAGGGGGUACGAGUACCUUAUGGGGAUCGUGAUCUUCGUGCCAGUGGCGGUUCUGGCAUGGUUCCCUUUUGUCUCGGAGUUCCAGACGAGGCUGCUAUUCAACCAGGCAUUCUCCCGAGGCCUCCAAAUCUCUCGCAUUUUGGCUGGCGGAAAGAAGCAAAACUGA